UACAGAGGUCUCAAGCGUUGUUCGGAUUAACUGGGCGUAAAGGGUGCGUAGGUGGUAAUUUUAGUCCAUCGUAAAAUAUUCAAGCUCAACUUGAAAAUCUCGAUGGAAACUGAAUUGCUUGAGAUUUUAUUAGGAAAUCGGAAUUCUCGGUGUAGCAGUGAAAUGCGUAGAUAUCGAGAGGAACACCAGUGGCGAAAGCGGAUUUCUAAGAAAAAACUGACACUGAUGCACGAAAGCUAAGGGAGCAAACGGG
rnacentral:rRNA from 1 species